rnacentral:rRNA from 1 species
GACGAACGCUGGCGGCGUGCUUAACACAUGCAAGUCGAACGGAAAGGCCCUGCUUUUGUGGGGUGCUCGAGUGGCGAACGGGUGUGUAACACGUGAGUAACCUGCCCUUGACUGUGGGAUAACUUCAGGAAACUGGGGCUAAUACCGGAUAGGAGCUCCUGCUGCAUGGUGGGGUUUGGAGAGUUUCGGCGGUUGGGGAUGGACUCGCGGCUUAUCCGCUUGUUGGUGGGGUAGUGGCUUACCAAGGCGUUGACGGGUAGCCGGCCUGAGAGGGUGACCGGCCACAUUGGGACUGAGAUACGGCCCAGACUCCUACGGGAGGCAGCAGUGGGGAAUAUUGCACAAUGGGCGGAAGCCUGAUGCAGCAACGCCGCGUGCGGGAUGACGGCCUUCGGGUUGUAAACCGCUUUCGCCUGUGACGAAGCGUGAGUGACGGUAAUGGGUAAAGAAGCACCGGCUAACUACGUG